rnacentral:pre_miRNA from 1 species
AUUAUACUCCCUCCGUCCGAAAAUACUUGUCAUCAAAAUGGAUAAAAGGAGAUGUAUUUAGAACUAAAAUACAUCUAGAUACAUCCCCUUAUAUCCAUUUUGAUGACAAGUAUUUUCGGACGGAGGGGGUAUAAU